GUACCAUGCGAUUUAUUCAUUUAACUACAAAUCCAGACCUGGAGACCCAAAGGGGGGUUGGGUUUGGGAUUUUAAAAAUGUAAAAAGCACAAACAUCUCCGCACAUGAUAUCAAAAUAGAAAUGAGGCGCAGUUCAGGGUAUUAAAUUAAGUAGCAAAAUUGCAAAAGAGAGUGGAAUGAGACGAGUAGGACAGCAUUAAAAUUGAAAAAAAGAGAGAGAAAACGAUAAACAAAAGGACCUUCGUGUUCAUCAUGAGUGCUAAACAUUGCUCACAAAUACUAGUUAGAAAAUGAAAUAUAUCGCUGAAAUGGCCAAAGGCAGUCGAUUGGAGAGGGGAUUUACACGCUCCAGGGCAAGGAAAAUACAAAAUGAGAAAAAGUAGCUAAAUAGGAAGAGGAAAAAGUCUGAAAAUAGGCACGCGGUAAAAUCUUUCAAAUUUCAAAUUUGAGACACGCAAAAAAAGAAAAAAAAAAUGAUAGCAAUCAUCCCUCGAACAGCCUGGCGAAAGAAGUAGCGUAGGACAAAACAAUCGUAAAUCGGAAAUACGUA
rnacentral:sRNA from 1 species